GCGGGAGUGGUGUAACGGCAGCCACGCCAGGUUUAGGUCCUGGUGCCUUCGGGCGUAGGGGUUCGACUCCCCUCUCCCGCACCA
rnacentral:tRNA from 1 species